rnacentral:misc_RNA from 1 species
UCUCCGUAGGUGAACCUGCGGAGGGAUCAUUACUGAGUGAGGGCCCCCGGCCCGACCUCCAACCCUUUGUGUAUCUCGACCCUGUUGCCUCGGGGGCGACCCGGCCUUCGGGCGUCGGGGCCCCGGCGGACCACUCAACUCUGCAUCUUUGCGUCUGAGUCUUAUAUAUGAAUUAAAUCAAAACUUUCAACAACGGAUCUCUUGGUUCUGGCAUCGAUGAAGAACGCAGC